rnacentral:lncRNA from 1 species
GUGACUAGAAAUACAAGGCUGCUAUCAGUAGUGAUUCAUUUCUUUCAAUAUCGGCAAUGGAUAGUCUAAUACACUGGUCUAGUUUACGCUCACCCCAUUGGACUUCAUUUGAGUUGCUAACUCUUAAGAACCAAUCCUUCCUUCCCUUAGUAGAACUGGGCCAGGAUCAGAAGGUGUCUUUCCACAGAUCUAAGGAGAAAUUCUCAGCUCUAAAAGGGAUCCUAUUUGUUUCCGCAUUGAUCAGAUCGGUAGGAUCCGGGUUACCGAAUGGCCCGAGACAUUGAAAGUGGGGUUGCUCGAUAGGAAUCAUGAUUUUCUCAGUCAAUUCCUAAAGGUUUGA